UUAUUCUUUCUCCUCAUUUUUAACUAUAUUUUUUCUAACUUGAUUAUGUUGUAUUUUGCAGAAAUGAUAUUUUUCUCUAUCUAACAAACAAAAAGAUGAAAAACUUCAUGCUACACAAAAGAUUAAGAAUGCAUACCAAGAAAGAAAAACACGGGAAGCAAAACACUUUCAAGAAAUGAAACAGGAAAACAAAGCACAUACCAAGAAAUUGGAAGAACUUGUAUCUGGAGAGGAGAAGAAUGAAACCACACCACCAAAUUGG